UUUUCUGCCACCGAAUACAUUAGCAUGGGAUAAUGGAAUAGGACCCUGUCCUCCUAUUUUCAGUUGGUUUUGGCAGCGCGAGGACUAGGGUAAUGAUUAAUAGGGAUAGUUGGGGGCAUUAAUAUUUAAUUGUCAGAGGUGAAAUUCUUGGAUUUAUGAAAGAUUAACUUCUGCGAAAGCAUCUGCCAAGGAUGUUUUCAUUAAUCAAGAACGAAAGUUAGGGGAUCGAAGACGAUCAGAUACCGUCGUAGUCUUAACCAUAAACGAUGCCGACCAGCGAUUAGGAGACGUUGAAUACAAAACACCACCAUCGGCGCGGUCGUCCUUGGCGUCUCGGUCCUUCACGGGGCCGGGGCGCGGGGGCGGCUUAGCCCGGUGGCACCGGU
rnacentral:rRNA from 2 species